rnacentral:tRNA from 1 species
AAAUUGAUGGUAAUCGAAAGAAAUCAAGGAUUUUCGCCCUUCUAAGCCGUAGGUCACAGGUUCGAAUCCUGUAGGGACCA